GGUAGCCUCGUGCUCCUCACUCUGUCCUCCAUGUUAGCAGAUUUUCUACUACUAGAGGUCAGCUAGCGAGUCCUUUGUUUUUUGUUCUCUGCUCACUACCAUGUAAUGGCUGCCAGCUCGAGCUUCAGCUUUAAUAACAGCGGGGAAUAAGGUUCAAGGCCUCUUCAGAUAUUGCACCCCUUGGUAUGCGGAGUGAGUUUUCACGGUGCUCGUGAGAGUGUUCAGCAAGCUGAAUAAAAUAAAGCACCCGUUUAGAGACUCUCUGCGUUGCUUCUUGAAGCCAAGGGCUGCUACAUAUUUCAUGUUAAAACAAGAAAACAUGACAUGAAAGGUGGAUGUUGAACUGACUGAAGAAGAGGAGAUGUUUGAGGUGAUGGACACAGAUGACCAUCUGGACUCAGAGAUUGAAUAUCUGGCAGAAGACGAAACGACAGAGG